GACGAACGCUGGCGGCGUGCUUAACACAUGCAAGUCGAACGGAAAGGCCCUGCUUUUGUGGGGUGCUCGAGUGGCGAACGGGUGAGUAACACGUGAGUAACCUGCCCUUGCCUUUGGGAUAACUUCAGGAAACUGGGGCUAAUACCGGAUAGGAGCUCCUGCUGCAUGGUGGGGGUUGGAAAGUUUCGGCGGUUGGGGAUGGACUCGCGGCUUAUCAGCUUGUUGGUGGGGUAGUGGCUUACCAAGGCUUUGACGGGUAGCCGGCCUGAGAGGGUGACCGGCCACAUUGGGACUGAGAUACGGCCCAGACUCCUACGGGAGGCAGCAGUGGGGAAUAUUGCCCAAUGGGCGGAAGCCUGAUGCAGCAACGCCGCGUGCGGGAUGACGGCCUUCGGGUUGUAAACCGCUUUCGCCUGUGACGAAGCGUGAGUGACGGUAAUGGGUAAAGAAGCACCGGCUAACUACGUG
rnacentral:rRNA from 1 species